rnacentral:rRNA from 1 species
UACGUAGGGUGCAAGCGUUGUUCGGAAUCAUUUGGGCGUAAAAGCGCGUGCAGGUGGUUAGGUAAGUCGGGUGUGAAAUCCCCUGGGCUCAACCGAGGAAGUGCAUCCGAAACUACCUAGCUAGAGGACAGUAGAGGAAGGUGGGAAUUCCUAGUGUAGAGGUGAAAAUUCGUAGAUAUUAGGGAGGAAUACCGGAGGCGAAGGCGGCUCUCUGGGGCCGGAAACUGACGCUGAGGAGCGAAAAGCGUGGGGGAGCAAACAGG